rnacentral:rRNA from 1 species
GUGCCAGCAGCCGCGGUAAAACGUAGGAGGCAAGCGUUAUUCGGAUUUACUGGGCGUAAAGCGCGUGCAGGCGGCUCUGCAAGUCGGACGUGAAAUCUCCUGGCUUAACUGGGAGGCGUCGUUCGAAACUGCUGGGCUUGAGGUUGGGAGAGGAGAGUGGAAUUCCCGGUGUAGUGGUGGAAUGCGUAGAUAUCGGGAGGAACACCAGUGGCGAAAGCGGCUCUCUGGCCCACACCUGACGCUGAGACGCGAAAGCGUGGGGAGCGAACAGGAUUAGAUACCCCUGUAGUCC